AGUCUAUGAUUAUUUGUAAAAGGUCUGAUUUGUACUGUGCUUUCCUUAUAUGCCAAACUAGCUCCCAGCAGUAUCUCUGAAUUCCCAUCAUGCUCUAAGUGUGUAGUGACUGGUUAGUGAGACUGCUGACAAUCUGGGUAACCCUAAGAAAUCACCUCUCCUCCAGCAAUAGGAGCUGUGGUUGUGAUGGGCAUCCAACAGGAGCACGUGUGAGGAUGGAGUCUGGGGUGUAUAAAGGAGACAAUAUACAGUGCAUGAUAACACACUGAUUCUGAGACU